rnacentral:rRNA from 1 species
UACGUAGGGGGCAAGCGUUGUCCGGAUUUAUUGGGCGUAAAGAGCGUGUAGGCGGCCUUACAGGUCAGCUGUGAAAACUCGAGGCUCAACCUCGAGACGUCGGUUGAAACCGUAUGGCUAGGAGUCCGGAAGAGGAGAGUGGGAAUUCCCGGUGUAGCGGUGAAAUGCGCAGAUAUCAGGAAGAACACCCGUGGCGAAGGCGGCGUCUCUGGGACGGUACUGACGCGAGACGCGAAAGCGUGGGGAGCGAAGCAGG